rnacentral:rRNA from 1 species
CCAAUAGCGUAUAUUAAAGUUGUUGCAGUUAAAAAGCUCGUAGUUGAAUUUCGGGGUCAUCAGGUUGGUCGUGCCACUGGUAUGCACUGGCCUUGGUGAUUCCUCCUUCUUGUAGAGCCGUGAUGCCAUUAAUUUGGUGUUGCGGGGAAACAGGACUGUUACUUUGAAAAAAUUAGAGUGUUUAAAGCAGGCUCACGCUUGAAUACAUUAGCAUGGAAUAAUAAAAUAGGACGUUCGAUCCUAUUUUGUUGGUUUCUAGGGUUGACGUAAUGAUUAAUAGGGACAGUUGGGGGCAUUAGUAUUCAAUUGUCAGAGGUGAAAUUCUUGGAUUUAUUGAAGACUAACUACUGCGAAAGCAUUUGCCAAGGAUGUUUUCAUUAAUCAAGAACGAAAGUUAGGGGAUCGAAGACGAUCAGAUACCGUCGUAGUCUUAACCAUAAACUAUGCCGACUAGGGAUCGGAUGAUGUUAAUUUUUUAAUGACUCAUUCGGCGCCUUACG